rnacentral:rRNA from 1 species
GAGAGAGAGACAUGCGCGCAUAUCAAUAAGCGGAGGAAAAGAAACUAACAAGGAUUCCCCUAGUAACGGCGAGUGAAGCGGGAAGAGCUCAAAUUUGAAAUCUUAAAGGGUUUCCCUUUACGAAUUGUAGUUUAAAGAAGUGUUUUCUGUUGAGGUUUUGGUAAAAGUUCUUUGGAAUAGGACAUCAUAGAGGGUGAGAAUCCCGUAUUUGACCUUUACUUUCAACUUUGUGAUACACUUUCAAAGAGUCGGAUUGUUUGGGAAUGCAGUCCAAAAUGGGUGGUAAAUUUCAUCUAAAGCUAAAUAUUGGCGAGAGACCGAUAGCGAACAAGUACCGUGAGGGAAAGAUGAAAAGAACUUUGAAAAGAGAGUUAAACAGUACGUGAAAUUGUCAAAAGGGAAGCGUUUGACACCAGUGUUGUUUUUCUGAAAAUCAAUUAAAGAACUGUUUAUGCUAAGCUGUUUAGACUUUAUCAGCUAUCUGUUUAGUUUUGAGCUUUUCUUAAUGCACUUUUCAGUUAACAAGUCAACAUCAAUUUCUUUUGCUGUAAAAAAGCUUGAGGAAGGUGGCUUGAGAUUCGUCUUAAGUGUUUAUAGCCUCUUGCCUAUGCAGUCGGAGAGAUUGAGGUCUGCAGCGUAGAUCCUUCGGGGCUAAAUGCAUUUGUGCUAAGUUAUAGCAUUUUAUAGACAACUUGUUGACUAUGAUUUGUCUUGUAGCUUACUCGCUUAUGUUAUUUUACCUACGCUUAGGAUGUUGACGCAUGAGAUAUACGC